AGCCAAAUCUAGUGACUCUAGUCUAGAUUCUAGAUCUAUCGAUCAUCUAUGAUCUAGUCUGUCUAUAGCUAUACUUACUAUUAUACACUUUUACAGUAUAUGAGUAUACUCAUACGAGUCAUACUGGCUAUACUAUAGUAUAGACACUAUAGUUAGUAUAGUUAAUACUUUUUAAUAGUAGAUCUAUAAUCUAUCAAUUCUAUCUAAAUUAUUCUAAAUCUAGACUUCACUUUCACAUCACAUUCAGUCAUUCACACGAUUAUUGAUACAGACAGUGAAUGAAACGAAUGCAGUGGUUAUACUGAUUAUACUUAAAGUGACGAUACUACUUAUAGAUCUACCAGUUGAUAAACACCAUCAUCAUAGAUAAUAAUCUACAUCUAUAAUCAUAGUGCCCUUUAUUUAGUCAAUAUAGUCAAGUCAAGGUAGUGGAACGUAAACUCGAAGGUUUAAUACAAUAUGUUAUUAACAAGUAGAACCAUGGCAACCAGUUCUGAUGAUGUACCAGAAUGGCUCAAGGAUCAUACUUAUACUAUUUCUACUCUCUGGGCAUCCAUUCAAUAUUUAAUUUAUGUUUGGAAAUGCAAGAAAAAGGCAUGCAUUCCUGAAAAGUCAAUGAUUGGUUGCACCUCUUAAAGGUAAGAUAACUUUCUGUUAUGAGAAAAGAUGAGAUUCUUGGACUCCUGCAUAGCACCACCAGAAAGGAAAAUCCCAUCAUGUUGCAAAAUAAAAGUCUUGGACCAAUUUUAAUUUAAGAUAUAUAUAUUAGACUGUAAGCUGUAUUCAUAUUUAUGUAUAUCCUGUCAUUCAGCCAACAGGUUUGGAUUUAGUAUUUCUUUAAAUCUGUUUGAUAUUGUACUUGAAAACUAUUAAUCUGAGCCCCAUUAAAACAAGAGGGAGUGCAGUGGAUGAGUGGUAAGGGAAAUUUUACUUUUUUAAAAUUAAAAUAAGAAUCUAACCAAAGUAAACAUAUAAAAUAUGGUGCAUUCUCCUUAAAACUAAAACCUGGUGCAAAGGUUUAAAAUGUUGGCAAAAAAAAAAAGCAACAUCAAUUAAAUAUUCUUAAUUCCCUUGGCAAAACUUACUGAGAAGAACAUGCAUGUUGUUCCCUCAUAAGUUUCUUGACAGAGGAAAUCUUGUUUAUAUUAGAUUUGAAUUAAGCAAAUUAAGAAAAAAAUUAGAAUCAUUAUUUCAAAUGGUUGUAUCUAAACCUUAUGAAUUAUUUUUCAGUUAUAAGUAUAUUGAAAUGAAUGGAUAAUUAUGAAAUUGUUAAAUAAUUGCUGCUAUCAUUCCAUUGACUAAAGAACCAUAAUUUU